ensembl:lncRNA
CAGGUGCUGAGGGACAGACACGUGGGCCACGGUGCUCCUGCUCCAGCUGCAACCGCUGCAGCAAAGCUGAGCAGGAGCUACAGCAGCUGGUGUUGCCGGCUCUCCCAGAGCACGUGGCCACUCUGGGCCCUGAGUUCUGGGAUGCGGCCUGGCGGGACCUGGAAAAGCUGGUGGAGCAAGGAAGCCUAUCCUGCUGCAGCUCCCCCAGCUCCUCCACACAGCUGGGGACAGUUGUACGUGAGAGCAUCAUGCAGACAGGUGCCGCUGUACGUUGGUGGGAGCAGAAGGAACAGCAGCCUGUUGGAUUGUCCAAGCGUCCACAAGAAGUACCCCACAUGCAAAAGACAGUAAGACCAGCAGCAGCAGCACCUUCACGCCUGGCUACGGAAGAUGACUGCUGCAGUGCAGCCAGCCAGCGUCUGAGCUGUGCCGUCUGUGGCAGGAGACGUGCAGAGCAGGCAGGCAGGCAGAGCGUGAAUGGCUGGCACUCGUGGCAGCGGGUGGCCCCCACAGCCCACCGGACAAAUCGUCAGGGCUCCAAGCCAGGCAGGGGAGCCACAGAGCAGCCCCCGCAGACCUGCACCUGCACCUGCAUGCGUCCACCUGCGCAUGAGGGACUUCAUCAACCAAAGCAGGGACAACGUUGCUGGGACAACAAGGCCCAGGAGCCUUCUGCAUUGCCUGUGUCCUGCCGAAUGCAUUGUGAGUGCUGUAAGACAGCGGGAUCCAAGAGGGAUGCACAGAAGCCAGAGCAGCACAGCAUAAGAAAUACGAACCGGCACGUGCAGUCGCCCCCCAGGCAUGCUGAGGAAGAGAUGUGGGGCUCCAAAGCAGACAGAGGUGCCCAAAGGCAGCCUCACGGGAUCUGCUCCUGCUUGCUGCCACCAGCGCGUGGGACAACGGUGCGUAGCAUUGCCUAUGGCUCCAUUGAGUGGCUAUGUUGGCGGUAGGAGGUGGCCCCGCAGGUUCCCGCAUGGCUCUUGGCCACCCCGGCACGUCCCAAGUCCCAGCCUGAAUACAGGGCAGCAGCACAGGCAGCACAAACAGCUUCAGUGCUGCCCGUGGAGGACAACGGCUGCCACGCCAACGUCACCGCUGUGGGAAGUGCAGAGAGCCAACCCGAAGACAGACACGUGGGCCACGGUGCUCCUGCUCCAGCUGCAACCGCAGCAGCAAAGCUGACCAGGAGCAGCAGCAGCUGGUGCUAACGGUGAUGCCUGAGCACGAGGCCACUCCUGGCCCUAAGUUUCAGGAGGUGGCUUGCAGGGACCUGUCAGAGGUAGCGGAGCGGGGCUGCCUGUCCUUCAGCAGCUGCCCGAAUGCCCUGAGUGAGGAGCAGCAGGGAGCAGCAGCACGGGAGUCAGGUGAGUCUCCAGUGGCUCAGCCCAAGCCCCAAGCUUGCCCUGAUGCAUGCAAGGCCUGGGUGGACCCAUGGGAGGAGCCCAACCCUGGGCCAGGACGUGGCACACUGCAGGUUGGCCAGAUGGGUCAAGGGCAUAACUGAUGCCCCAUCCUGCUAUGGCUCAUGCCCCCUCCCUGUUUUGCAGGUUCAGACAGACAGACACGUGGGCCACGGUGUUCCUGCGCCAGCUGCAACUGCUGUAGCAAAGCUGAACAUCGACUCUCCCAGAGCACGUGGCCACUCUGGGCCCUGAGUUCUGGGAUGUGGCCUGGCGGGACCUGGCAGAGCUGGUGAAGCAGGGCAACCUACCUGGUGCAGCUCCCCCAGGGUAGAGAGCUCUACCAGAAGGAGCAACAAGUCCCUUAAUGUGCACCAAGGAGCCUUGACAGUGCAGGUCCCUGUCCGUGCCUAUGGACACAUGCAUAGUGGCAUGCCCCACACGCACUGCAAAACCCAGGCCUGCUGCCUGCAGUCCUUUCUGCAGCGUGGUCAGGGCUCCUCUUUGCAGCACCAUGGGGAAACCAGGCUGCUUCCAUCGGCAGGAUCUGAUGGCAAAAAGCCUGCCCAGGCAAAGAAUGAAGGUGGCAAGGCAGCCAGCAGAGCAGUAGAAGAUGCCACUGAGGACUGCUUGUCCAGCCGGCCACCAGCAGAGGACUGCAUUGUCCUGUCUGCCAGAGCAUCCUCCUCCCAGACGGUCGGCUGCCUCAGAGGCCGGAUAAUCUCGUGCCACUUCCAGAGUGGGCGGUGUAUCCACCAGGACAGCGCAGCAGUUACACAGCGGCUUGCAGUUACACAGCAAGACCAGCUCCAGUCCGCAGAGACGUUGGUGUUGGGACUUGUGACAGAGAAGAGAACUCGCAGUGUUCCUUUGGUGCCCAAAGAAGUGCAGGAAAAGGAAGCAGGCCAGAUAAUCUCGUGCCCCCUCCUAAGUGGGCAGUGUCUCCACCAGGCCUAACCAGGUCCACCAGAGUGUCUCCCGAAUGAGCGACAGCAGCGCCCGAGAGAUGCAUGGGGAAACCAAGCCCUCCCUCUGCACAAGGACAGAGGGUCCCGAGGGAACUCGGGCAACACAAAACUGAGAUGGGCUGUGGCAAGGAAAGGCAAAGGGCUGGUGAGCUGCAUGCUGGGACCUGCUCCUACACACAGCUGCAGACAGUUGUACGUGAGAGCAUCAUGCAAACAGAUGCAACUAUACGUUGGUGGGAGCAGAAGGAACAGCAGCCUGUUGGAUUGUCCAAGCGUCCACAAGAAGUACCCCACAUGCAAAAGACAGUAAGACCAGCAGCAGCAGCACCUUCACGCCUGGCUACAGAAGAUGACUGCAGAACUGCAGCCGGCCUGCGUCUGAGCAGCCCCCUCGCUGAGAGGAGAAUUGCAGACCAGGCAGGCAGGCAGGCUGACAGUGAAUAGCCAGCACGUGUGGCAGCCGGUGGCACCCACAGCCCACCGGACAAAUCGUCAGGGCUCCAAGCCAGGCAGGGGAGCCGCAGAGCAGCCCCCGCAGACCUGCACCUGCACCUGCAUGCGUCCACCUGCGCAUGAGGGACUUCAUCAACCAAAGCAGGGACAACGUUGCUGGGACAACAAGGCCCAGGAGCCUUCUGCAUUGCCUGUGUCCUGCCGAAUGCAUUGUGAGUGCUGUAAGACAGCGGGAUCCAAGAGGGAUGCACAGAAGCCAGAGCAGCACAGCAUAAGAAAUACGAACCGGCACGUGCAGUCGCCCCCCAGGCAUGCUGAGGAAGAGAUGUGGGGCUCCAAAGCAGACAGAGGUGCCCAAAGGCAGCCUCACGGGAUCUGCUCCUGCUUGCUGCCACCAGCGCGUGGGACAACGGUGCGUAGCAUUGCCUAUGGCUCCAUUGAGUGGCUAUGUUGGCGGUAGGAGGUGGCCCCGCAGGUUCCCGCAUGGCUCUUGGCCACCCCGGCACGUCCCAAGUCCCAGCCUGAAUACAGGGCAGCAGCACAGGCAGCACAAACAGCUUCAGUGCUGCCCGUGGAGGACAACGGCUGCCACGCCAACGUCACCGCUGUGGGAAGUGCAGAGAGCCAACCCGGCCCGAUGCCACCUCCUUCCGCGAGCGCACAUCGAGGAAGCAGAGGGGCCGUGGGUGCCCACGGCUUUUGUCAUCAGCAUCCACUUGGCUGUGGGAGGGCCCAGCGUGGAAGGACGUAACGGAGCACCGGGGAACAGCCAGCUCGCAGCUACAGUCCCAUUAAAUCCUCUUUCUAU